rnacentral:rRNA from 1 species
UACGAAGGGGGCUAGCGUUGCUCGGAAUCACUGGGCGUAAAGGGUGCGUAGGCGGGUCUUUAAGUCAGGGGUGAAAUCCUGGAGCUCAACUCCAGAACUGCCUUUGAUACUGAGGAUCUUGAGUUCGGGGAGAGGUGAGUGGAACUGCGAGUGUAGAGGUGAAAUUCGUAGAUAUUCGCAAGAACACCAGUGGCGAAGGCGGCUCACUGGCCCGAUACUGACGCUGAGGCACGAAAGCGUGGGGAGCAAACAGGG